CUAAUACCGCAUAAGCCCACGGCUCGGCAUCGAGCAGAGGGAAAAGGAGCAAUCCGCUUUGAGAUGGCCUCGCGUCCGAUUAGCUAGUUGGUGAGGUAACGGCCCACCAAGGCAACGAUCGGUAGCCGGACUGAGAGGUUGAACGGCCACAUUGGGACUGAGACACGGCCCAGACUCCUACGGGAGGCAGCAGUGGGGAAUAUUGCACAAUGGGGGAAACCCUGAUGCAGCGACGCCGCGUGGAGGAAGAAGGUCUUCGGAUUGUAAACUCCUGUUGUUGAGGAAGAUAAUGACGGUACUCAACAAGGAAGUGACGGCUAACUACGUGCCAGCAGCCGCGGUAAAACGUAGGUCACAAGCGUUGUCCGGAAUUACUGGGUGUAAAGGGAGCGCAGGCGGGAAGACAAGUUGGAAGUGAAAUCUAUGGGCUCAACCCAUAAACUGCUUUCAAAACUGUUUUUCUUGAGUAGUGCAGAGGUAGGCGGAAUUCCCGGUGUAGCGGUGGAAUGCGUAGAUAUCGGGAGGAACACCAGUGGCGAAGGCGGCCUACUGGGCACCAACUGACGCUGAGGCUCGAAAGUGUGGGUAGCAAACAGGAUUAGAUACCCUGGUAGUCCACACCGUAAAC
rnacentral:rRNA from 1 species